rnacentral:lncRNA from 1 species
AAAUUGGCCAUGGUUGAAGCUGACUUGGAACGUGCUGAAGAACGUGCCGAAGCCGGUGAAUCGCCGCCCGAAAGCUGGUACUGAUGGAGCAGGAUCUCGAACGGGCAGAAGAACGAGCCGAUGGAAGCGAACA